AAUAAAUAAGCUGUCCAUCCAAAGACAGCAGGUUUGUAAACGGUUUUGUCCGGCCUGCCGAGGAAAGACAAGCAGUGUGUGAAACAGGGGCACAGGCCCCGGCGCGGUGCUGCCGCGCGGUUUCCCGAUGUUGCUUGCGACGCCUUUCCGAGGUAUUCCCCGGAAAGGCGUUUUUGAUUUUACUU
rfam:Firmicutes bacterium CAG:94 genomic scaffold, scf151